CAUUACAAUAGACAUAAUCCUACUGUCUUGAGUGCAGCUGUACUACAAAACCAUAGCAUUUAGGACACUAAGACAUAACAUUUUACCAUACCAUCUGGGAGGAUUGUGUAGAAGACAAAAGCCAGAGCUUGUGUGUGAGUGUCUGCCUGCCUGACUCAAUCAACAUCAUCAACAGUCAAUCUUCAACAGCUUUUUGAGUUUUUCAGGGAGACAAAAAGGACAACGAUGCAUCAGACUCCCCGAACACCCUUCUGCGGUUGCGUGGCAGAAGGAUUGUCACAAGUAGAUCCAUUUGAGACUAAGACAGCAAAAAGCAAAAAAAAAAAACCAGCAAAAAAUCCCGUAAAA